UACGUAGGGUGCAAGCGUUGUCCGGAAUUAUUGGGCGUAAAGAGCUCGUAGGCGGUCUGUCACGUCGGAUGUGAAAACUCGGGGCUCAACCCCGAGCCUGCAUUCGAUACGGGCAGACUUGAGUUCGGCAGGGGAGACUGGAAUUCCUGGUGUAGCGGUGAAAUGCGCAGAUAUCAGGAGGAACACCGGUGGCGAAAGCGGCUCACUGGACCACAACUGACGCUGAGGCGCGAAAGCUAGGGGAGCAAACAGG
rnacentral:rRNA from 1 species